rnacentral:rRNA from 1 species
UACGUAGGGUGCAAGCGUUAAUCGGAAUUACUGGCGUAAAGCGUGCGCAGGCGGUUGUGCAAGACAGAUGUGAAAUCCCCGGGCUCAACCUGGGAAUUGCAUUUGUGACUGCACGGCUAGAGUGUGUCAGAGGGGGGUAGAAUUCCACGUGUAGCAGUGAAAUGCGUAGAGAUGUGGAGGAAUACCGAUGGCGAAGGCAGCCCCCUGGGAUAACACUGACGCUCAUGCACGAAAGCGUGGGGAGCAAACAGG